AGAAAGAGCAAGGCGAUGUGCCGGGCAUGGACAUGCAGACAUGAGCCAGCAAUAUUCGAAGGAGGAAGAAAGGUGCAAAAAAAAAGACCUGUCCAAAACUGAAAAGUAUAUAUGGAGACAUCGCAGAGCAGCAAGAGAAGCAGGAAUGGACCAGACACGAAGGGCCACCAGGCUGAAGGGCUGGGCUGUGUCCUGGGGGGACUGGGAAGCCAUGGGAGGGCUGUGAGCAGGAGAGGAGCCGGGCAGCUCUGGGGGACAGAGUGAAUUCCAGGAGGCCCAGAAAGAAGCUUGGGAGAGGGUCCACGCCAAGACAAUAGAGGUUCUUAUCCCCAUUUGACGGCGUGGGGUGGGGCUGUGCUGGUCUCAGAACCAGGAAGCGGAGGAAGCUGGUGUUCUGGGCCCAGCCCAGGGCUCCUUCUGGGAACUGGACGGGGCAGGGACUGAGCACAGCAUUCACCACGGGGCUUCCUGCCUUAGAAUGAAGAUGCUUACCUGGUGGGAGGAGCAUCAGAGUCCCAAGGCCAAAGAAGGCUUGCCCCUUAAGAAACCAGAGCUGCUGGAGGAAACAGAAGUACCCAAAAUGCCUGAAGCUGACACCCCACCAGACCGGGCUGGAGGGCUCUGGAGAGAAAGAAGAGUGUAGACUCCGAGAUGGAUCACGGCAUGCGGCCCAGGACGUGGAAACCUGGCCCAGGCAGAGGUGCGACUCCAUCCCAGACUCCAGACCCAGAGGCCGUCGCCCGGCUCUCACCCAUUUCCUGGGGAAACAUGCCCCGGGGCCUCCCCAGCGCCAGCCCUCAUGUUAGCCAAUGUAGGGGACACGCCUAACACCUGACA
rnacentral:lncRNA from 1 species